rfam:Arabidopsis lyrata subsp. lyrata unplaced genomic scaffold ARALYscaffold_4, whole genome shotgun sequence.
CGGACCCAGAUAUAGAGGAGUAUAACACCAGGAGGUUCCACUUCGCUGAGCAUAUCUCGCCAUCAAGGGAGAGCAAGAGUCUCGCUGAGAGCCAUGAGAAGAUCAAUAAGCUCCAAGCCUGGUGCAAGUUCCAGGACAAGUUCAUUGGUAAGUGCUUCAAGAUGUGCACAUCCAUACAGAAGAAGUUGAACCGCUCCUCUACUAGCACUACUGCACCA